CAAGGCUUUCGAUACAAUGUAUAAUCAAUCGAUAGUCAACAAAUUAACUGUAAGCAGCUGGCAAAGGGCUUGCCAAACGCCCGCCCAGGAAAACAACAACAAACAAUGGUAACUGGCAAUAAUCAUAAACAUCAGCGCUUUAGCCAAAGAUCUCUGUCUACAUCUUUCAAAACUGCUUGUAAUCCAAACACAUAAUACACACAUGCACACAAACUGUAAGAAAUCGUCGUCGUCGUUGUCGUUGUCGUUGUCGUUGUCGUCGUCAUUGACCAACAAGUUCAAUGAGCAUGAAAUUAAAGACGGCAUGGCAAUUGAAACUGAAGCUUAUAAAUAAUGCUAAACAAUAGACACGCCCCCAACAGCUAUCCCGCAUAUUGCCGCUAGAUCCAAGCUAAGCACCUGCAAUUAAACGAGUUGCAAAGCUCAACCGCCAAAUAUCCUCUGCCUUUUCGCCCAGCGGAAACUCACACACGCUCAAAAAUCCUACGCCCAUGCCCACGCCUACGGCUUCGCAUUAUUUCCCUUGUUGCUGCUGCUGCUGCUGCUCUUAGAGAUCUGGAACUGCUCUAAAAGAUCUGGAACUGGGUACUGAA